rnacentral:snRNA from 1 species
AAAAAGGGCUUCUGCCGUGCGUGGCACGGGGGGGCUUUCAGACACCCCCGCGGAAUCGACAUCAAGAGAUUUCGGAAGCACAAUUUUUGUGAUGAAGGGUUGCUGGUAACCGCUUGUUCUGGCACCCUG